ensembl:lncRNA
ACAAAACCAAGAAGCUGGGUCACAGAGAUAACCAGAUGGCUUGGGCACCUCUUCUGUGAACUGAGGGAGUUGGGGUUAUUUAGGCUUGAGAAGUGAAGGCUCUGCAGCAACCUCAUUGCGGAUAUUCCAAUAUCUAAAAGGAGCCUACAGGAAAGAUGAAGAAGGACUCCAUUUGAAAGUGUCGUGACAGGACAAGAGCCCAAACUAUUCAGUGAUUCUAUGACAACUUCAUUGGAAACUUCUGCUUGUGGAGGACAAUAGAGCAACACCUAAAUGGUGUGGAUAAAAUGAGACAGUGAUGAGCCGAAAAACAUCAGCAUAGUGAUCAUGUCCAGUGGGUAGAGCUGCACUCGGAGCUGGAGAAGCUUCCUUCCAGCAGUCAGGAUGCUCAAACAUGCAAGAGGUCUGUAGCCUUGUCUGAAGGAAUGAAACCUGUGAGAAUCACAUCCCCUGAAGAGGGUCAGAGAAACAUAUGCAGAGAACACAAGUUGCUUCACAGAACAGUAUGGAGAGUAACCAAGAAGUAAACGCAGCAGAUAUGAAAACCACUACCCAGAAUAUGAGCAGAAGAUGAAAAUUACAGCAGGCAGUCCAAGGUGGAAUUAAGAAGGCUGCAUUUCUAUAUGCCAGCAUUGCUGGGCUUCUCCCUGGUGAGACCGAGCAAAUAUUUGACCAGAAAUCACAGAAUCAUAGAACCAUUCAGGUUGGAAAAGACCUCAGAGAUCAUCGAGUCCAACCACAACCUAACUCUACUACCCUAACUCUACAAACUUCUGCUAAGUCAUGUCCCUGAGCACCACAUCCAAAUGGUUUUUAGACACAUCCAGGAAUGGUGACUCAACCACCUCCCUGGGGAGCCUAUUCCAGUGCUUAACAACCCUUGCUGUAAAGAAGUGUUUCCUGAUAUCCAACCUAAACUUACCCUGGCACAACUUGAGGUCAUUUCCCCUCGUCCUGUCACCUGUCACCAGUGAGAAGAGACCAACCCCGCUCUCGCUGUAAGCACCCUUCAGAUACUGGAAGAGAGCAAUAAGGUCUCCACUCAGCCUCCUCUUCCCCAGGCUGAACAGCCCCAGUUCCUUUCAGCCUCUCCUCAUGGGGCAUAUUCUCCAAGCCCUUCACAAGCCUUGUUACCCUUCUUUGGACCUGCUCCAGCACCUCAAUGUCCUUUCUGUAUGGAGAUGCCCAAAACUGAACACAGUACUCGAGGUGAGGCCUCACCAAUGCCAAGUACAGAGGCAGGAUGACUUCUCUAGUCCUGCUCACCACACCAUUCCUGAUACAAGCCAUCACUUGCAAGUGGAUGUUUUUUAAUGGUAUUAAAUAUCAGAAGAUUGAUAUUGCUUAAUAAGAUGAAUGGCAGCAUUUUCAAAUAUGUUGGGCCUUUUUAUUAAGCGCUUUACAAGCUAUCAGAGGCCUGGUAUUUUUGUGGCAGCUUACUGAAAGGGACCAGGAACGUGGUGUGUGUCCCCUGAGUGCUCGAUAUAGUGAUUUAUCAUCUCUCUAGAAGGAAUGGUGUGCUAACAUUGGAGGAACUGAUGUACUGAGAUAGUGCAGAUGACUUCUUGCUCAUGGAGUUAGACCAACGUCAUUGAACCAAGGGUGCAUGUGUCCUCUCAUUUCACCUGAUUUCUGGUUGACAGAGUCAAGAUGAGGAAAUUGUAUUUAAUAAACAAUCUACAGCAUCAAAUUUCCAAAUCUCUAUGAGGGAUAGAAAGGCAAAUCACAGAAUGGAUGAUCCCAAAUUCUUUGUGUUUCUACAGAAGUCACCAGAUGAGAAGUGACCCUAGGCUGUGACAAGUUAAUUUAAAAAUUAGGGCAAGUUUGUACUAAGAAAGUUUGGGUGCAUACAGCAUCUGUUAUCAGUCUGUUCUGAAAGCAGAAAUCAUGAUGUUGGUGAAGUACACUAAUGAGCUCUUCGCUCUAAAACCAGCAAAUCCAGCUAGUAAAACCAGAGACAAGAAUAGAGGGAAGCCUUUCAGACAGAUAAACCGUUUUCAAGGAAAAAAGCAAGUACAAUCUUGGAAAGCAGUCAAAGCUCCAGGCUUUGUGGAGUGCUGUGUUAUUGUGCCAGCUCUUCAGGAGAAGUCUGGCCUGGGAUGUUCCCACCCACUGCCCAAUGAGUCACUGGGGUGAUCUGCUGGGAUGACUGAGCCAUGCAUCAUCAGCCAGAUACUCCACUUCUUACAAUCUGCAUCCAUGGGCUCAGCAUGGAGAAAGAGAUGUCGCUCAAUGACAAACUGGAUAAUCACAGAAUCAUAGAAUGUCUUGGAGUGGAAGGGCACGAUUGCCACCUAAUAGAUAAGGUGCUUGUCCUUCUCCUAUAGCUUGUCUUAAUAGCAUACCAUUACUGUUAUUUAAAGUACCAGCUAGGUACUAAAGGAAGACUGGACAAACCAUUCACUGACUUGGAG